AUUGAACGCUGGCGGCAGGCCUAACACAUGCAAGUCGAACGGUAACAGAAAGCAGCUUGCUGCUUUGCUGACGAGUGGCGGACGGGUGAGUAAUGACUGGGAAACUGCCUGAUGGAGGGGGAUAACUACUGGAAACGGUAGCUAAUACCGCAUAACGUCGCAAGACCAAAGAGGGGGACCUUCGGGCCUCUUGCCAUCGGAUGUGCCCAGAUGGGAUUAGCUAGUAGGUGGGGUAAAGGCUCACCUAGGCGACGAUCCCUAGCUGGUCUGAGAGGAUGACCAGCCACACUGGAACUGAGACACGGUCCAGACUCCUACGGGAGGCAGCAGUGGGGAAUAUUGCACAAUGGGCGCAAGCCUGAUGCAGCCAUGCCGCGUGUAUGAAGAAGGCCUUCGGGUUGUAAAGUACUUUCAGCGGGGAGGAAGGGAGUAAAGUUAAUACCUUUGCUCAUUGACGUUACCCGCAGAAGAAGCACCGGCUAACUCCGUG
rnacentral:rRNA from 1 species